rnacentral:lncRNA from 1 species
ACUUGCUGGUAACUAGAAAAAAUUGGAAUGUAAAAGCAUCCAAGAUCCAACUAGGUUAUUUAUUAUAUGUUUGCAUGGUUAUAGUACUAUAAUUUUUUAUUGUUAGUGGAUAAUCCUCAUUUAAAAGGUGUGAUCAUGAUGGAGAUAAGAAAUAUUAUUCAUUUGAAACUGACAGAUGCUGCAUUGAUUGGAGCGAGUUGAGAACGACAAAGAUUCACAAGAUAAUCGAUAGGUUUUCACAUCUCGUCGUUUGAAAGGUUAGUUCCACCAACCCCUAUUCAUCCAUUUCUCGAAAGGGACAAAAAAAUGAUGUGGGAAGGCGUUGUAACAUCUAGCCUCCUGUGCCACCAGUAUUGAUGACUCUACCUGAGCACGCUUAACUGUGGAAUAUAUUGUCCAAUUUGCGUUGGUAAUUUUUGAAGUUCGAUACUCCUUAUGAACUCAACAUCUCUCAUGUCCACGGUUGAUGUGGGAUUUGCCUGUAAUGUUACAAUGUAAUCUUCGAUGAUUUCAUUUAUUAUGAUCUAUCUAAUAAAGCUUAAUUACCUAAUUAAGGCUUUUGUUUUAAUAUAGUACUUCAUGGGACAACAUGACUCUCAUAGGAUUGUUCAAGUUGUCUUGUUAAUUCUAUAGGUGGACCCUUCUUUACAAGAGGAAUGUAAAGCUGAGCAGCACUAAGCUUUGUCCAAUGAUGUGUAAGUUGUAGUCUUACAAGUUUAGAGCUGCAAAUCUUAUCAUCUACAUGAUGAUGGUGAUGAUGAUGCUCAUGGUUUACUUUGUCAUCAUUGUUAUGUCUACAUGAUAUACACAUCACAUAUAUGUUCUACUUUAUAUGAUAUGAAAUGUAUUUACAGGUAUGAUAAGUACUAAAAAAACAGUAGGAUCUGUGCAUUGAUGCCAACUUUAGAUUAGUUAUUAAUAUUGUUGUCAACUAUGGGUUCAUGUGUGUUGGGAAUCUUGAUUAUGUUAUGUCUUUGAUUAUGGGUUGUUGGUGCCACAGUUGUUUAACCAACCUCUGUACUGUUGCUGGCCCAUGA